UACGUAGGGGGCAAGCGUUGUCCGGAUUUAUUGGGCGUAAAGAGCGUGUAGGCGGCCAGACAGGUCCGUUGUGAAAACUGGAGGCUCAACCUCCAGACGUCGAUGGAAACCGUCUGGCUAGAGUCCGGAAGAGGAGAGUGGAAUUCCUGGUGUAGCGGUGAAGUGCGCAGAUAUCAGGAAGAACACCCGUGGCGAAAGCGGCUCUCUGGGACGGUACUGACGCUGAGACGCGAAAGCGUGGGGAGCGAACAGG
rnacentral:rRNA from 1 species